rnacentral:tRNA from 1 species
GGGGAGGUGCCAGAGUGGCUGAAUGGGAUAGUCUCGAAAACUAUUGUGGGCUCCGGUCCACCGAGGGUUCGAAUCCCUCCCUCCCCGCCA